GACGAACGCUGGCGGCGUGCCUAAUACAUGCCAGUUGAGCGCUGAAGGUUGGUACUUGUACCAACUGGAUGAGCAGCGAACGGGUGAGUAACGCGUGGGGAAUCUGCCUUUGAGCGGGGGACAACAUUUGGAAACGAAUGCUAAUACCGCAUAAAAACUUUAAACACAAGUUUUAAGUUUGAAAGAUGCAAUUGCAUCACUCAAAGAUGAUCCCGCGUUGUAUUAGCUAGUUGGUGAGGUAAAGGCUCACCAAGGCGAUGAUACAUAGCCGACCUGAGAGGGGGGGCGGGCACAAUGGGACUGAGGACCGGGCCAAAAUCCUACGGGGAGGAGCAGUAGGGGAGUUUGGGAAAAGGACGAAAGGCUGAACGGGCAAGGGCGCGGGAGGGAAGGAGGGUGUCGGGUCGUAAAAAUCGGUUGGUAGGGAAGAAAGUUGGGGGGAGGGGAAAGCUCAUGAAGUGACGGUAACUAAACAGAAAGGGACGGCUAACUACGUG
rnacentral:rRNA from 1 species